UACGUAGGGGGCUAGCGUUGUCCGGAAUCAUUGGGCGUAAAGCGCGCGUAGGCGGCCAGAUAAGUCCGGUGUGAAAGUCAAAGGCUCAACCUUUGAAUGCCGCUGGAAACUGUCUGGCUUGAGUCCGGAAGGGGCGAGUGGAAUUCCUGGUGUAGCGGUGAAAUGCGCAGAUAUCAGGAGGAACACCAGCGGCGAAGGCGGCGCUCUGGGCCGGUACUGACGCUGAGGAGCGAAAGCGUGGGGAGCAAACAGG
rnacentral:rRNA from 1 species